AACGAGGAAACGCCGGCACAAGUGAGGACGGAAGAAACGUUUCAAGUGGCAGAGGCAGUUGAUCUUCCGGACGAAAUUGACGAUGCACACGGCCUACGAUCGCCAAGACAACAGCGAACCUGCGUCCGUCACCAUCUCUGGCCAUUUCCAAGGACAAUCGAACUGUAUUGGUGGGUGACACCCGUGGUCGCAUCCAUUCGUGGAGUGUGACGGACGUGACGGGCCGCUCGGUGGCCGACCAUUGGCUCCGCGACGACACGGUUGAAAUGUGCACCAAGUGUCGCGUGAAAUUCUCGUUGACUGAGCGCCGACAUCACUGCCGCAACUGCGGACACGUCUUUUGCUCCCGUUGCAGUCGCUACGAGUCUGAAAUUAUGCAAUUGAGGAUCCGCCGGCCGGUGCGGGUGUGUCAGGAGUGCUACGCUUCUUUGAAAAUGUCCAGCUCGAUGGAACUUCUUAAUUUUCGACUGACAAAAGAUGAAUAGAUGUUUGAUUUAAGAAAGAAAAUGGGCUAAUCUGUCAGAGAGUAGUGUAUCAAUGUCCAGUUAUGUAACGACACCCGCCCUUUGGCCCAAUGGAUCAGGGGGCGGGGCAAUUUAUAUCACAGGCUCAUAUCAGGUGUGUAGUGAUGAUUUCUAAAAAUUAGUUUUUAAAAAAUGACAGUCGUGUUUUAGCAGAUGAUGUUUAUACAAUCGACGUUCCAAUCGCCCCCCCCCUCCUUUUAUUACCCUCCGGUUUGCACACAAUCAAAUGCAUUUUUCCUUAUUCUUUUAAAUCUGAUUAUUAUUUUAGAGAGAAUUUGACUAAUUGGGGCAGAGUAGAUUGACCGUGUACUUGUGUAGCCUCCCGCCCUCAGACGAGAAAAAAGAGAAAAGAAAUGAAAAACAAGAAAAUUUUUUAUUUAUGAUUUCAACUAGCGAAAUCCAAUGUUUCUGUACACACAUUUGACUCCUCCCACUCUUUGGCUUUUGCAACCCCAUUCGACGACGAUUAAGAACCGUGCCGUUUCUUUUCUUUUUCGUGUUUCGUUUCUGUUUGAUUUCGUGUUUCCAUUUCCUGUCAACCAAAAAGAAAAACAUCUCCUGCCUUUUUGCGACGCCCCACAGUCCAUCACACACACAAGAAAUUAAAAGAAAAGUAAAAAAAAAUAUAUUUGACCGUGUGCGCGUAGUGAGUAUUUGUGUGCAUCUUGUAGACCCCACCCACCCCAGCCCAGCAGAAAAAAAAGGAAAAAAAAAGUUGGCAUUAUACAUUGGACUUAUGUAAUACAAGGCAAAGAUGUUAUAACACGAUUGGUUUUCACGUUCUCUCUUUUUAUUGCUAGAAACAAGAAGUAUGAGCUUGAACGCAUUUUUAUUAUUUCAAUAAUUUAGUAUCAGAGAUGUUUUCAAUUGAUUUUGGAAACAAUCAACGAGACUAUACAAUUCUAGUUUGAAUCACGGCAUUCCCCCGCUCAGAAGAGAUCCAUAUUUCUACCGCUA